rnacentral:rRNA from 1 species
UACGUAGGGACCGAGCGUUGUCCGGAAUCAUUGGGCGUAAAGAGCGUGUAGGCGGCCUUUUAAGUCCUGCGUGAAAUCCUGCGGCUCAACCGCAGACGGUCGUGGGAAACUGGAAGGCUAGAGUGCGGGAGAGGAGAGUGGAAUUCCCGGUGUAGCGGUGAAAUGCGCAGAUAUCGGGAAGAACACCCGUGGCGAAGGCGGCUCUCUGGAACGCAACUGACGCUGAGACGCGAAGCGUGGGAGCAAACAGG